GAUCCGUAGUGCGGUGAGGAGCAGUCGUGUUCGUGCCGCGUUUCCCAGUGUGUUCGUGCCGGUAACGCGUAACACUGUGGUCUGCUCCUCGCACCAGGUGCGAUCCCCGGUGGUUGGUUCAGGGCUGGUGACAAGUGGCAGUCCCGGAGCGCGGUGCUCGGUCGAUCCGUCGACGGACACGUUGCGACACGGUGAAAGGUGAAGAGGAGCGACGAGAGCAGGUCCGUGGAGAGCUUGAGCAGGCCGAGAGAAGAGAGGAUCUCAGUGUGGCACAGCGCGCGUCCAUCGCGAACUAAUUCUCCACGGACGUUGAUCGGAGUGGGUGGAGAGCAUCGAGGCGUCGUCAACGAAACGGUAGGUUCCCGGAAGAGUGUGCUCGGCCAGGUUCAUCCAGCUAAACUGCGAGACGGCAUGUUCGCCGAGUGAAACUCUUUGACUGGAAGCUUGCAUACCAAAGAUCCCGAGCCGCGCAACCGUUCCGCCGCGUCGUCGAUUUGCUCCGACUGAUCUUCCCGGCUGUCCUGUGGCCAGCAAAGCAGACCAAAGAGCGCGGUGAUUCUACGUGAAAAGAUUUGGGAAUGCUGUGAAUGCGCAAACAUCUGCAGUUUAUUUGACGAGAACGCCAUUAAGAGUC